GAUUCUUUACUCCUUCUUUCGGAAUGAUCAUGCACCAGAUGAUAAACAUUUUGAUGCUGAUUAUUGAAUUCACUUUCAUUUUCAUUGCCUUUCCAUAAACAUACCGUACUAGUGAUCAAAUUACAUUGGAUUAUAUAAUAAUCCAAUUGAUAUUUGAUGAUUUGUCUUCACUUACAACAACAGAGUACGAAAGUGUAUUUAUACUGUAAAAAUCUUUCAUUUUUUUCCAUUUUCUGCCAUUUUUUAGAUUAUCUUAUUCACGUUAAUCAACUUAUUUUGCUUAAUCAAUUCCUGUUUUAAUCUGUGAUCUUAAUCGUGUUAUUUCCUUUUUCCUGGUCUAAUUAACCUCAUGUUCAAAUGUAAAUUAAACUGCAAACGUCAAAUCCAAUUUUAUUUUUGUACUUAAAGUAGUCAACAUUAAAUAUAAUCUUGUGCCAGUGUUAAUGUGAUUCAGUGAAAUGUCAAUAAAUCCAGGCAGUCUAGAUAAACUGGACAUGAAGACCAUUGAUUGGUCCACCAAACCCGGAGUCCCAUUUACCUUCUCCUUUGAACUCAUCAAUAACAUUGAUGAAUACAUUGAAUCAUUGGGCUCUAAUUACAAUUUAUGGAUUGCAAUGUCUCUUCUUUACAUCAUCACUAUUUUUUACAUUCAACAUGAAAUGAAAUCUCGUAAACCAUUAAGUUUACGCAUUCCUCUGAUUAUCUGGAAUCUUGGAUUGACUCUAUUCUCAGCUGCUACAGUAACAAGAUUGGCUCCAGAUUUGAUAUCAACUCUCACAUCCAAAGGCUUUUACGCUUCAUUUUGUGAUGCUUCUUCAUUUCAUUCCGAUCCACGUAUUAAGGUAUGGAUUUGGCUGUUUAGCCUUUCAAAAUUAGUUGAAUUUGGUGAUACAAUAUUCGUUGUCCUCCGCAAACAACCGCUUAUCUUCCUUCACUGGUUCCACCAUGCAAUCACUUUAUUGUACACCACGUUUGCAAUUGGGUUUUACCUUCCUGCCUAUGCUCGUUGGUUUAUGACCAUCAAUGCAGCAAUUCACACUCUAAUGUAUGGCUAUUAUGCAGCUCGCGCAGCUCGAUUCAAGUUCCCCAAGUUCGUCAACAUGUCCAUCACUAGUUUACAAAUAAUUCAAAUGGUUGCUGGUUUAUUAAUCAAUGGCUAUACUCUUCAUAAUCAAAGAUCCUCUUCUCGUCAAUGCGAUGGACAUCAAAAUGCAUCUAUUUUUGGUCUGGCCAUUUAUACAUCGUUUUUAAUUCUUUUUUGUCAAUUUUUUAUCGCUUCUUACCUUAAGCCUCGAGAAUGCAGGGAAUCAAAAAUGCUCAACAAUAAUAAUGAUUACCAAACUAGUAAGCGAUUAACAAAAGCAGAUGACUUGAAAAAAUCAAAUUAAUUGAAUAAAUUUCAUAAUUAUGUGUCAAUUUUCA